rnacentral:rRNA from 1 species
CGUCGACGGGUAGCCGGCCUGAGAGGGUGACCGGCCACACUGGGACUGAGACACGGCCCAGACUCCUACGGGAGGCAGCAGUGGGGAAUAUUGCACAAUGGGCGCAAGCCUGAUGCAGCAACGCCGCGUGAGGGAUGACGGCCUUCGGGUUGUAAACCUCUUUUAGCAGGGAAGAAGCGAAAGUGACGGUACCUGCAGAAAAAGCGCCGGCUAACUACGUGCCAGCAGCCGCGGUAAUACGUAGGGCGCAAGCGUUAUCCGGAAUUAUUGGGCGUAAAGAGCUCGUAGGCGGUCUGUCGCGUCUGCUGUGAAAACCCGAGGCUCAACCUCGGGCCUGCAGUGGGUACGGGCAGACUAGAGUGCGGUAGGGGAGAUUGGAAUUCCUGGUGUAGCGGUGGAAUGCGCAGAUAUCAGGAGGAACACCGAUGGCGAAGGCAGAUCUCUGGGCCGUAACUGACGCUGAGGAGCGAAAGGGUGGGGAGCAAACAGGCUUAGAUACCCUGGUAGUCCACCCCGUAAACGUUGGGAACUAGUUGUGGGGUCCAUUCCACGGAUUCCGUGACGCAGCUAACGCAUUAAGUUCCCCGCCUGGGGAGUACGGCCGCAAGGCUAAAACUCAAAGGAAUUGACGGGGACCCGCACAAGCGGCGGAGCAUGCGGAUUAAUUCGAUGCAACGCGAAGAACCUUACCAAGGCUUGA